rnacentral:tRNA from 1 species
GUAUCAGUUAGCUCAGUUGGUUAGAGCGUGGUGCUGAUAACGCCAAGGUUGCAGGUUCGAUCCCCCUAUGGGAUA